UACGGAGGGUGCAAGCGUUAUCCGGAUUCACUGGGUUUAAAGGGUGCGUAGGUGGAUUUAUAAGUCAGUGGUGAAAGCCCCGAGCUCAACUUGGGAAUUGCCAUUGAUACUGUAGAUCUUGAGUGCGGUUGAGGUAGGCGGAAUGUUACAUGUAGCGGUGAAAUGCUUAGAUAUGUAACAGAACACAAAUUGCGAAGGCAGCUUACCAAGCCGAUACUGACACUGAUGCACGAAAGCGUGGGGAUCAAACAGG
rnacentral:rRNA from 1 species